rnacentral:misc_RNA from 1 species
GAUGAAGAACGUAGCGAAAUGCGAUACUUGGUGUGAAUUGCAGAAUCCCGUGAACCAUCGAGUCUUUGAACGCAAGUUGCGCCUGAAGCCAUUAGGCCGAGGGCACGCCUGUCUGGGUGUCACACACCGUUACCCUCGCGCCAACGUCCAUCGUUGGCCGCGGCGCGGGGCGUGCGCUGACCUCCCGCGAGCGGGGUCUCGUGGUUGGUUGAAAAUCGAGUUCGCGGUCGAGGGUGCCGUGAUGAAAUGGUGGAUGGGCGACGCCCGAGGCCAAUCACGCGCGACUCUGUACGGCUCGGACUCCUGGACCCCUUCGGCGUCUCCGGACGCUCUUUGGCGAGACCUCAGGUCAGGCGGGGCUACCCGCUGAGUUUAAGCAUAUCAAUAAGCGGAGGA